UGGGGGAUAUUGCACAAUGGGCGAAAGCCUGAUGCAGCGACGCCGCGUGGGGGAUGAAGGCCUUCGGGUUGUAAACUUCUUUUGCUCUGAACAAGGCAUGCUAAUGGGUGUGUUGAGUGUAGGGGUUGAUUAGCGCCGGCUAACUACGUGCCAGCAGCCGCGGUAAUACGUAGGGCGCGAGCGUUGUCCGGCAUUAUUGGGCGUAAAGGGCUUGUAGGUGGCUGGUUGCGUCUGUCGUGAAAGCUCAUGGCUUAACUGUGGGUUUGCGGUGGGUACGGGCUGGCUUGAGUGCAGUAGGGGAGGCUGGAAUUCCUGGUGUAGCGGUGGAAUGCGCAGAUAUCAGGAGGAAUACCGGUGGCGAAGGCGGGUCUCUGGGCUGUUACUGACACUGAGGAGCGAAAGCAUGGGGAGCGAACAGG
rnacentral:rRNA from 1 species